GAUGAACGCUAGCGGCAGGCUUAAUACAUGCAAGUCGAGGGACAGCACAGGUAGCAAUACUGGGUGGUAACCGGCAAACGGGCGCGGAACACGUACACAACCUUCCUUUAAGUGGGGGAUAGCCCAGAGAAAUUUGGAUUAAUACCCCGUAAUAUAGUUGAAUGGCAUCAUUUGAUUAUUAUAGCUACGGCGCUUAAUGAUGGGUGUGCGGCUGAUUAGAUAGUUGGCGGGGUAACGGCCCACCAAGUCUACGAUCAGUAGCUGAUGUGAGAGCAGGAUCGGCCACACGGGCACUGAGACACGGGCCCGACUCCUACGGGAGGCGGCAGUAAGGAAUAUUGGUCAAUGGACGCAAGUCUGAACCAGCCAUGCCGCGUGAAGGAUUAAGGUCCUCUGGAUUGUAAACUUCUUUUAUUUGGGACGAAAAAGGGCCUUUCUAGGUCAACUGACGGUACCAGAUGAAUAAGCACCGGCUAACUCCGUGCCAGCCGCCGCGGUAAAAC
rnacentral:rRNA from 1 species